UAAGAAUUAUUGUAUAUUGCCUUUCAGUGAGACUGCUUAUCCUGAAAUUUUUCUUAGUUCCUAUCUUAGUUUGGGUAUAUGAAUGAAUAAUGACAUAUGAAUAACAUUUGAAAGAAUGGGUUCCUGGCCUUUGAGCAACUGUUGAUUAAAGCAGUUGCAUUAAUAAGGCAAUGAGAAGCAUUUUUUUCCUGUGUGGGUUCUCAUUUUUUCCUGUGUGGAUUCUCUAUCAUGUAACGAGCUCUGGAUUUAUCUUGUAGCCUUUUUCUUCCUAGAAAUGCCAACAUAAAUCUUGCUUCUUUGCAUGUCAGUCCAGGGUCUGGCUUGCUUCAGCCUGUUCAGUCCUUAGGAGCAUUAAUCUGUUCUUUGACUUCCAUCCAGCUGUACUGCCCCAGGAGCACACUGAGAACAGAUCCAUUCAUCACCAUCCCAUCCAGCAGCCUGGUGUGCGGCGGCUUGGAGGUAGCAGUGAUGCCCUGGUGCUUUGAUUCAUGCAAUCAGUAAUCUCAAGACUUUACCUAAAAGGAUGGAAAAUGCAGUGUGACCCAGGAGCUUGGCUGUCAGUAAUGCUUGUCUCCUGUCUCUCCAGGGCUCCCACGGAGGAGCUCCCAGCUGGAGACUAUGUCUGCUCUCUGUGGGACAGAUUCUUCACUCCAAACCUGCCUUUUAAGUGGCUGUGACACAAAGCUGUCUGGGCUGAGAAUUUACAGCAAUAAUGGGUCCAACAGAGGAAGCUGUGACCAUGUACCCCAAGGGCAUUGAGUUACUGAGACUUUGUGAAUGAGUUUGCAUCCCUAACGCUGCAGUACGUGGCUCUGUCAUAUUCACAGCCAGUUCCAGCUGGGAAGUGCGUGAGUUUAAAUCAUCAUGAAGACAAGGUUGGCUUUAAUUUCGCCUAGGCCAUUCCAGAGGAAUGGAAAUCCUUCAAGAUGAAGCGGAAGAUGAUGAAAGCCACUGGGUCUGUCUUCCCACAUGGCGCAGGCAGCUGUGUCCUUGCUCGGAGAUCUGCAGAAGACAAACCCCAGCAGAGUCAGAAAAGCUAAGCUCUACCUGCAUGCCAGCUGCACUACAGGUAACUGCUAUGCCUUUUAUUUUAACGUAAAUAUUUUCUAUAUUUAAAGAGAAAUCAGAGAUUAUGUGGGGGGAACUAAGGCUUGAAAGAUAUCUCAACAGAAACUCGGCUCUGAACCAUUGUCCCAGGGGUGAGGAACAAGUAGAGGAUAUGGAGGGAAACAUGCUUGAUUUCAAGGAAAAUGCUGAUUUCUAAGACGUGGUAAUUUCAUACAGUUUAUGCAAAUUUCACUAAGUCUUUAAAAAAGUCACACAAAGGACACUUUGGCAUCAGCUUGAAAGGAAUGUAAAUUAACAUAUCCUUAAUGCACGGUC